CAAAGAGAAAUGCCCUGCAAUCCUCGGUGGUGGAAGGACAUGCGCCAAACUGCUAUCGGCCUCAGGCCCAGCCGCCACUACAUUUGCCCAGUAUGCAGUUAGGGAGAUAUAUCUCUGUGCCUACCAUGGUGACCAUAGGUAACAGGGAAUCAGUGUUCGAUUCCAGAGAGGGAGCCUGAGAAACGGCUACCACAUCCAAGGAAGGCAGCAGGCGCGCAAAUUAUCCACUCCCGAUGCAGGGAGGUAGUGACGAAAAAUAACAAUACAGGACUCUUUCGAGGCCCUGUAAUUGGCCCCGUAACGAGGAUCUAUUGGAGGGAAUGUCUGGGGCCAGCAGAUGUGGUAAUUCCAGCUCCAAU
rnacentral:rRNA from 1 species